UGGAGGACACACCCCAGGGGGAGGCCCGGUGACCUUGAGGGAAGUUGGGCCCUGUCCUUGACCACUUAUCAGGGCCUGUCCCCCAUUCACCUGACCCAACUUGCUGGGGGGUGUGAGGUGGGGUGAUUUACUCAGUUCUAACCAGGCAAGAACCUGCCUGUCCUGCACCCUGGCCUGUCCUCUGGAGGUUAUCUGAUGAGGGCCUAUUCUAACGAGUCUUCCCCUGGAUCCCACCUCACCCCUCCAGCUCCCGCUUCACCAUGAGCCCAUGGAGACAUGAGCCCCAGGACAGCUCUUUCUCUGGUGUCUCUUGCAGCGAGAAGCACCUGUGGGCACAUUGGAGCACAGGCCUUGAUGUUUGCAGUGCUCCGGGCAAAAGGACAAAUGGAGGCCCACACACCAGAAUCUAAAUAUUAAACAACCAUAAAUCAAACUGCUAAUAAAAUGUGUUCUAUCCUCCUACUGAACAAAUAAGCUUUCAUAGCAGUAAAAACAUCUGUAAAUCUAUGGUUUUUAUGUCUGAAAGUCAGUAGAUAUCCAAAAUGAUGGAACUUAAUAAUUAUCACUCAUGUCCAGGUGUUCAGUGACCUGAGGUUUAAGUGAGAGAAUGAAGACUUGCCUGAUGCCUAAGACAUUCUGUAUUUAUUCUGUAACAUUGAUUCUCCUCGUCUUUAUUCUAGUAAAAUGAUUGAUUAUGUUGUUACA